AGUGAACGCUGGCGGCAGGCCUAAUACAUGCAAGUCGAACGGCAGCACAGCAGAGCUUGCUCUGUGGGUGGCGAGUGGCGGACGGGUGAGGAAUACGUGGGAAUCUGCCCAGUCGUGGGGAUAACGUAGGGAAACUUACGCUAAUACCGCAUGCGCCCUUCGGGGAAAGCCGGGGACCUUCGGGCCUGGCGCGAUUGGAUGAGCCCACGUCGGAUUAGCUAGUUGGCGGGGUAAAGGCCCACCAAGGCGACGAUCCGUAGCUGGUCUGAGAGGAUGAUCAGCCACACUGGAACUGAGACACGGUCCAGACUCCUACGGGAGGCAGCAGUAGGGAAUAUUGGACAAUGGGCGCAAGCCUGAUCCAGCCAUGCCGCGUGAGUGAAGAAAGCCCUCGGGUUGUAAAGCUCUUUUGUCCGGAAAGAAAAGCGCCGGGUUAAUACCCUGGUGUCCUGACGGUACCGGAAGAAUAAGCACCGGCUAACUUCGUGCCAGCAGCCGCGGUAAU
rnacentral:rRNA from 1 species